UACGUAGGGGGCGAGCGUUGUCCGGAUUAUUGGGCGUAAAGAGCGUGUAGGCGGCUUGGUAGGUCUGCUGUGAAAACUCGGGGCUCAACCCCGAGACGUCGGUGGAAACCACCUGGCUAGAGUCCGGAAGAGGAGAGUCGGAAGUUCCUGGUGUAGCGGUGAAAUGCGCAGAUAUCAGGAAGAAUAUCCGUGGCGAAGGCGGCUCUCUGGUACGGCACUGACG
rnacentral:rRNA from 1 species